AUGGGAUUGAGGGGUGAAAAGGGGAUUUAAUUGGGGGUGAGUGAGGAUAGGGAGGAAGGCAAGAAAAAGAGUGAAGGGAGGGUUUCAUCAGAACCGAGGGAGGGGAAAAAGAGGGGAAGAAGAAGAAUAAGUAUGAUGACGAUGAUAGGGUUUGUUCGUUUGGCCAAACAUCCAUCCUUGUAAACGUAAAAUAUGCCUCCUGUAGCCUCUCUCUCUACGAGUAGGAUUGCAACCAUCCGUCCAAUCUCAUCACAUAUCUUCUCUGCUGUCUUUUCUUUUCAUUUUCUUUUUUUAACCUAGCCUCCCCCACCACCAACCCCCCUUUUCUCUCUCUCUCUCUUCUCUCUGUGAAAGAGUACUAAAACCUAGCUCUCAAUUAAUUAAUUACACCCACAACCUUCCAUCCUAUUUAUUGUGAGUACUAAACAAAAUAAAUAGAACCCAUCUGUCCCCUCCUAACCCUAAUUCCUCAUCCACUCCAUAUAUACAUCUACGUUAUCGCUGGCCAUAUCUUUCUGUGUUAGAAGAAUCGUCUGCGUGGGUCUCGUUGCUAGUUCUGCAAACUUGGAUGAUCACGUGGGUUUUGCAAAGAGUUUCUUACAGAGUUCUUUGGCAUUCUGUCCACCUCCCCCUCUCUCUGUGGGUCUGUGGCUCAAUGGAUGGAGGUGGGCAUACUGCCAACAGAGCUCUGUUGGCUUCUCUUUGUAAAACCCCCGUGACGACAUAGAUGUAUCUUUAACCAGUACUCGAUCUUCCUCGUGACAAUACGGGAGCACGACAGAGAGGCCCAAACAAGAACCAACUUAAUUAACCCAGCUAGGGUUAGCAACACCUAAGAGAUCAUAUCGUAGGAGCUGCAAGCAACGAGGUGGAGGAGGAGGAGCCAUAUACACCUUAUAUAUAAACCCAGAUUUGCAGGAAGUAGCGAAUGAAGCAGGAAGCUCUCUAAACACAGGUAGCAUUUGACGAGGGAGGUCAAGUACUCGAAACACAGUUAGUAUUUGAUGAUGGACAAGAAGUAUUAGAACACUGUCAGACCAAAAAUGAUGGCUAAGGCUUCCUCAAGUUUACGGAUGGAUCUAACUUUUGACAUUAAUGUUGUUAUCUUAUCAUCAGUGACUCCUGUUUUCUUUUCUUUUUUUCUUUUUUUCUGAAUGUGUAAUGAUGCUGAUUAUAUGUGAGAUUAAAAAAUACAAGGGGGGUAAUAUAUCUCAGUGAUUAUGGCAUGGCAUGCAUGCAUGCCUGCCACCAUUGUGUUUAGUGUCAGUAA